rnacentral:lncRNA from 1 species
CCACAUCCUGUCGAGGGACCUCCCUCUGCCCCCCUCACAGCGGUUCUGGGGGGGGAUCGGGCCUUUCAGGACGUGCUGAAACCCCUUCGUGGCGUACCGUGCUGAGCAUGUCGUCAGCUACUCCUAAACAGCCUCCCUAAAUAGAAAGCGCAUUUCCUCCACAGACCGCAUCAUCCAUUUCCCAGGGACAGCCACCCUCCUAAAGACUGAGGCUCGGGGUCAUCUAUUCUCCAGCCCCUCACAUCUGAUCCCCCUCCCGGUUCAUCCUGCCACUCUGUCUCACUUUCGCAUACCCACCUGGCCUGCUCCCCUAUUGUUUCCAUUGUGCCUCCCCAACCAGGUCUGACCACCCCCACACAUAGCUGGCUGAUGCCCCUCACAUCUGCCCUCACCCACUCACAUCUGGCAGCUGCACCCCUUAAACAAUGCAUCACAUCACUGCCCUCCUUACUACAACCUUGCUCAGCUCACACUCAGCAGGAAUCUCACAUUCUUCUUAGCCCCAAACACAGGACACAGCUGGACUCUGCUCCCAGAAUGGACUGACUUCAGCUUCAGGGAUGACACAGAGACUCUGGGACCUUCUUAGGAAGGACACAAGGAGGGAUUUUCAGAGGCUUUGGAGUACAGUGUGUGUUUGCUUCUCAACUUUGCCCCCACUUGGGCUGUCUGCUUUAGAGUGGGGACAGUGAACUAGGCAUGGUGGCUCACACAUGCAAUCCCAGCACUUUGGAAGGUCAAAGCAGAAGGAUCACUUGAGCCCAGGAGCUUGACACCAGCCUGGGCCACAUAGUAAGACCCCGUCUGUACUAAAAAUAAACAUUUUGAAAAUUA